rnacentral:rRNA from 1 species
UACGUAGGGGGCAAGCGUUGUCCGGAAUUAUUGGGCGUAAAGAGCGCGUAGGCGGUUCCGAUAAGUCGGCUGUGAAAGUCCAGGGCUCAACCCUGGAAAGCCGGCCGAUACUGUCGGACUAGAGUCCGGAAGAGGCGAGUGGAAUUCCCGGUGUAGCGGUGAAAUGCGCAGAUAUCGGGAGGAACACCAAUGGCGAAGGCAGCUCGCUGGGACGGUACUGACGCUGAGGCGGCGAAAGC